rnacentral:rRNA from 1 species
CAGUAGCCACGGUAAUACGGAGGGUGCAAGCGUUAAUCGGAAUUACUGGGCGUAAAGCGUGCGUAGGCGGUUUGUUAAGUCUGUUGUGAAAUCCCCGGGCUCAACCUGGGAAUGGCAAUGGAUACUGGCAAGCUAGAGUGUGUCAGAGGAUGGUGGAAUUCCCGGUGUAGCGGUGAAAUGCGUAGAGAUCGGGAGGAACAUCAGUGGCGAAGGCGGCCAUCUGGGACAACACUGACGCUGAGGCACGAAAGCGUGGGGAGCAAACAGGAUUAGAUACCCCCGUAGUCCCUGUCUCUUAUAC